rnacentral:tRNA from 1 species
GCCUCGGUAGCUCAGCUGGCAGAGCGACAGUCUUGUAAGCUGUUGGUCGAGGGUUCAAAUCCCUCCCGAGGCU